rnacentral:misc_RNA from 1 species
GGAAGAUCCUGAAGAAUACGAGGAGGAUGACACAAGUUCUCAACACAAUUCAUCUAAUGAGAAUGAAGCGGAUGCUACAGUUGAAACCAAUGAUGAAGAGGAUGCUACAAUGGGAACCAAUGAAGAGGAGGAUACUAAGACUGAAUUGAACGAAGAGUCAAAGACAGCAGGAGCCAAUGUAGAGCCUGAAAAUGUUGCAGGAAAUCAACCUGAAGAAGACACCAAGGGGUCAAACCCAGAGAGUCUUGGCAAGAAAA